CAGUCGCCGCGGUAAUACAGAGGGUGCGAGCGUUAAUCGGAUUUACUGGGCGUAAAGCGUGCGUAGGCGGCUUCUUAAGUCGGAUGUGAAAUCCCUGAGCUUAACUUAGGAAUUGCAUUCGAUACUGGGAAGCUAGAGUAUGGGAGAGGAUGGUAGAAUUCCAGGUGUAGCGGUGAAAUGCGUAGAGAUCGGAAGGAACAUCUGUGGCGAAGGCGACUAUCUGGGCCAACACUGACACUGAGGCACGAAAGCGUGGGGAGCAAACAGGAUUAGAUACCCCUGUAGUCCCUGUCUCUUAUAC
rnacentral:rRNA from 1 species